UACGUAGGUGGCGAGCGUUGUCCGGAUUUAUUGGGUUUAAAGGGUGCGUAGGCGUCCUGACAAGUUUUAGGUGAAAUGCCCAGGCUCAACCUGGGAGCUGCCUGAAAAACUGUUGGGAUUGAGUACAGACGAGGUAGGCGGAAUUGACGGUGUAGCGGUGAAAUGCAUAGAUAUCGUCAGGAACACCAAUAGCGUAGGCAGCUUACUAGACUGUAACUGACGCUGAGGCACGAAAGUGUGGGGAUCAAACAGG
rnacentral:rRNA from 1 species